GCCCCUUGGCAAAAAUAUUGCCGUUAGGACGGUGCUUAGUAGGUCUUUUCUCGAAAUGUGCCGAGGCAAACAAGGAG
rnacentral:sRNA from 1 species